rnacentral:lncRNA from 1 species
GAUGUCCAGAAUUUAGUAGCACAAUCCUUGCAAGAGAAUAUUGAUAAAGCACAAGAGAAGCGAUGUAUCUUUAAUGAGGGAAAACCAUAUGGUCAAAGUAUGCAUAAUUUUGAAGGUGAUGAAAUGCAAGAAAGUCCCUAUUUGCCUACUAAAGAAAAUGCUAAAGGUGGUGAUGGACAAUCCUCCAAAGAAAAAAGAAA